GGGACGAAAGCCUGAUGCAGCGACGCCGCGUGAGGGACGACGGCCGUUCGGGUUAGUAAACCUCUUCAGGUAGGGAACAAGGCAUCAUUUUUGUGGUGUUGAGGGUACUUGCAGAAGAAGCACCGGCUAACUACGUGCCAGCAGCCGCGGUAAUACGUAGGGUGCAAGCGUUAUCCGGAAUUAUUGGGCGUAAAGAGCUCGUAGGCGGUUUGUCGCGUCUGUCGUGAAAGUCCGGGGCUCAACUCCGGAUCUGCGGUGGGUACGGGCAGACUAGAGUGAUGUAGGGAGACUGGAAUUCCUGGUGUAGCGGUGGAAUGCGCAGAUAUCAGGAGGAACACCGAUGGCGAAGGCAGGUCUCUGGGCAUUAACUGACGCUGAGGAGCGAAAGCAUGGGGAGCGAACAGGAUUAGAUACCCUGGUAG
rnacentral:rRNA from 1 species